rnacentral:tRNA from 1 species
CAAAAUGUGGCUAAGAUAGAAAAGCAUCUCCCUUACACUGAGAAGACACCCGUGCAAAUCGGAUCAUUUUGAC